UUGUGGAGGAGGACGCCGAAGGUGGGGCUAAUGACUGGGGUGAAGUCGUAACAAGGUAGCCGUACCGGAAGGUGCGGCUGGAUCACCUCCUAACAGGGAGACAACAAAAUGUUUAAUAUUAAUUUUGUCACCUUAGGUCGAUCGGUAUCUCACAUUCUUAAUUUAUUAAGAAUUUCAUUUCCUAAGUUUUUUCUAGGUCACACCCAUUAUUUUUCCUGGGCCAUUAGCUCAGGUGGUUAGAGCGCACCCCUGAUAAGGGUGAGGUCCCUGGUUCAAGUCCAGGAUGGCCCAUAUCUCUAUGUUGGGGGUAUAGCUCAGUUGGUAGAGCGCCUGCUUUGCAAGCAGGAUGUCAGCGGUUCGAGUCCGCUUACCUCCACUGAUUACCACCUCUUCCAUAAUUUAAAGAAGGGAAAUUUUUUGAGUUGUGAUCAAAUUCUGAACGAAUCUAGCCUCCUAAUAAUCUUAUUAAGAUGCUGGACUCAUUGAAUUAAUUUUCAUUGUUUUCAGAGAACCUUGACAACUGCAUAGAUUAUUUUUAAAGACAAUAAGCAUCUUUAAUGAUGCAGAUUUAUUAUUUGUGCGAAUGCAUUAAAUAACAAUUCUAUUAAGCUGAUGCUUCAAAUUUUGAAGUUAUUGGUCAAGCUACAA
rnacentral:misc_RNA from 1 species